GUAAUCACUUGUUCUUUAAUUGAGGACUAGUAUGAAUGGCCCCACGAGGACUACACUGUCUCCUUUCUCUAAUCAAUGAAACUGAUCUCCCCGUGAAGAAGCGGGGAUAAACCUAUAAGACGAGAAGACCCUAUGGAGCUUUAAACAACAGAAAUACUUGCUUCUUUCCUACCAUUUUCUGAAAACUAAAUUAAUUCAAGCAUUUUAUCUCCCAGUUUUAGGUUGGGGUGACCACGGAGAAAAAAUAAACCUCCAUGUUGAAAGAAGCCUUCCACCUUCUAAGCAAAAAGACACAACUUUAUGCAUCAGCACAUUGACUCCCAUUGACCCAAUAAUUUGAUCAACGAACCAAGUUACCCUAGGGAUAACAGCGCAAUCUACU
rnacentral:rRNA from 1 species